rnacentral:rRNA from 1 species
CGUGUAGGCGGCCAAGUAGGUCCGGUGUGAAAACUCGAGGCUUAACCUCGAGAUGUCAUCGGAAACCAUUUGGCUAGAGUCCGGAAGAGGAAAGUGGAAUUCCUGGUGUAGCGGUGAAAUGCGCAGAUAUCAGGAAGAACACCAAUGGCGAAAGCAGCUUUCUGGGACGGUACUGACGCUGAGACGCGAAAGCGUGGGAGCGAACA